rnacentral:rRNA from 1 species
GAGUUUGAUCCUGGCUCAGGAUGAACGCUGGCGGCGUGCCUAACACAUGCAAGUCGUGCGGAAACACUUCGGGUGUCGAGCGGCGGACGGGUGAGUAACGCGUGGGAAUCUACCCCAGACAGAGGGAUAAGCCCGAGAAAUCGGGUCUAAUACCGCAUAAUCUCUACGGAGCAAAGCCUUCGGGCGGUUUGGGAAGAGCCUGCGUCGGAUUAGCUUGUUGGUAAGGUAAAGGCUUACCAAGGCAACGAUCCGUAGCUGGUCUGAGAGGAUGAUCAGCCACACUGGAACUGAGACACGGUCCAGACUCCUACGGGAGGCAGCAGUGGGGAAUCUUCCACAAUGGGCGAAAGCCUGAUGGAGCAACGCCGCGUGCAGGAUGAAGGCCCUCGGGUCGUAAACUGCUUUUAUGAUUGAUGAACAUGACAGUAGAUCAUGAAUAAGGACCUGCUAACUACGUGCCAGCAGCCGCGGUCAUACGUAGGGUCCAAGCGUUAUCCGGAUUAACUGGGCGUAAAGAGAUGCGUAGGCGGCUUUGUAAGCGGAUAUUGAAAUCGCGUGGCUCAACCAUGCGGCCGGUAUCCGAACUGCGAGGCUAGAGUAUAAGAGGGGUCGCUGGAAUUGCUGGUGUAGGAGUGAAAUCCGUAGAUAUCAGCAGGAACACCAAUGGCGAAGGCAGGCGACUGGCUUAUUACUGACGCUAAGGCUCGAAAGCGUGGGGAGCGAACCGGAUUAGAUACCCGGGUAGUCCACGCCGUAAACGAUGGAUGCUAGCUAUUGGGAGGUAUCGACCCCUUCCGAAG